UAUUUUUCUCUUUUAACCACGCGCCUCUAUCCCAUUCCCUCCAUCUUUCUUCAUCUUUGGUCUCCUAUUCUUCCAUCUCUUCGAUCAUUACCAACCGAUUUCCUAGAUUUGUCUCAACCUCUGUCUUUGUACUAUUUGCGAAAAAAUUGAACACCUCCGAUUUGCGAAAAUUCUCUUAAUCUUCUCCACAGCGCUGCUUGUGGCAUCUAAUGUGUUGUGGGAUGCUCUGACUUCGGCCAGCACUGCGCCGUAGCUUUUGGCGACUUGGAAGAGUAUAACGAUUUUUCUCUUUUUCUUUUUCUUUUCUUUUUUUUUUUGCUCUUCAUUUUUUAUUUGAAGUUCAAAAUGAGGACGGUUGAAAAAGCAGUUUCCAUUGCUUCUCAUGAUUCUGAAGUAUCCAUUUCAGUUUUAUGAGGGACGUGAAGUUGUUGAUUGGCUGAAGUGUAUUAAUGAAGUGAUUUGCUACGGGCAAGCAGGGGUUUUGAUCCAUUGGUUGUAUUGUUGCUGAUUCUUUCAGCCAUCUUCAGACGUUGCUUCUCUAAUGGCGUCUGGAAAGUCCCCCUACAUGAGUUCCACUUAUAGAUAUUCACCAUUGCUCGCGUUUUUGCUCGUGCCAAACACUAUCUUCCAUCGUUGUUGGUGAAAGUUUCUAUUCUCAGCACAAGUACUAUUUUGAAGAAACGUGGGGAUCCAGAAAAUCUGUGCGUCGGUUCUGUUAUGGUUUCACUUUUUAACCCGUACAUUUACUAUUGGCACCAGAGGAAACUGCAGACCUCUUGUUUGUUCAGUGGUUCUUAAGAUCCUUUUCUGCUUGAUGAACGGUGCCAGUUGCUACAAACUGCAUUUUGGUAUGGACUUGUCCAUUUCAAAAUCUACCCAAUCAUCUAUGCCCUUCCUAUUCUUCUGAUUCAGGACCAGAAUGUAUUCAAAUCUAGUCUGAAUCCCACUCUUCAAAAAUGGAGCCAGGAUGAUGAAAAGGCUCUUUGGAGCAAUUUACGAUCAAGUCGCAACCCCCACUCUCGUCUUCUUCUUCUUCGAAAUCACACAGCCGUCGUCGCCCCUGCCUCUCUUCUCUCCACCGAGAUCUCCGACGACAAUCUCCCUUAGUUUGUCGAAGCCGCCACCAUCACCUCAGUUCUUCGUCAAGCUUCUGUUCGUCGUUAGCCCAAGCUGCCACAUCCCGAGCUGCUCCCCUUUCCGUUAGCCAUCUCCUCUACGUCGGAACAUUUGGAUCUAAAGCGAGCGGACUAUGUCUACUCCAACCGAUGUUUGUCCACGAAGCUUCGACUGCAGUCGUUGCAUCUCCACGAACCCAGCUGUCGCCGUCACGAUCUUCCAUUCGCAUGGAGAUUGUUGCACCAUCCAUCCUUCUCUGUAGCACAUUGUCGCACCAGGACGUGCUCUCCUCGAGCAGUUAUGUCCCAAGUGUGGGUGCAUAAUUUGUAUUAAUUAUAGGGUAUUUGUUGAUUCUGUUACAAAUGUAUUCAUAAAUCACAUUUGUCAAUUAGGUAGGGGCAUUUAAGACAUUGUUCUCCCAUUUAUUAUUUAAAAAUUCUUCGUUUUGCUAUUUUGUCAAUUUAAAAAUAAAAUUUUCAUUUUAUCCAAACUAAACCUCUAAUUUUGCUAUUUUUCUUGUCAGCCUUAAUUGAAUCACCAAAACUCAACACGUCACAAUCCACUAACCAUUAGUAAAAUUAUUCACUCUCAUUGGGCUUAGUGUCAUCACUAUAAGCUUCCACUUAGCCCACUAAGAGUUAGAGGAAUUAUCCAACAUUAGUCAAGGAGCAAAAUGUUCAUUGGACUAUUCUAUUCAAAGUUAAACUUUGACUUUUUAAGUCAACAGUCAAUAUUUUGACUUUUUACCAUUUUGACUUCCUUGACUAAUUUCAACCUCUCAAGCAUGAAUCUAAAUUCAUUUUCUUGAAAUUUAAAUCAUAUUUGAAUAUAUUCCUCGGUCAAAGUUUGAUUAGUUAAAGUCAAAAGUCAACAUUUUGACUUUUUUUAAUUUUGACUAUUUCUAUCAUUUCUGAGCUUCCGAGUAUGAAUCUAUAUUCAUAUUUUUUAUAUUUAAAUCAUAUUUAAACAUAAAACUCUAUCUCUAAGUCAACGACUUUAUCAUAUAUACUUGUCGGUUUCUCUCUGCACACCUAAUUCAAAUAAUUUGAAUUAGUCCAUCAUAUUGUUCUAAAGUUUAUUCCUUAUGAACUAGCAAUGGAAUCUAAUGGGCCUAUAGAUCAUGGACUUCAAUAAUCCAAGAUUAACUAGCUCAACCCUUUUAGACCUAAUCAGCAUUUGUUAACUAAUAGGUCAUUCCACUAAAGUCGCUUAGUUGCACUCUCCUCACCAUAGAUCUAUUUAUGUUCAUCUGAUUUAACCAUGAUUAGUAAGUUAAUCCUUCACAGGUUGUUCAUAACUUCGGCUGGGUCAAAGAUAUUUUUUUAUCUCUGAGACUACAUAUUGCUCCUUAAGUAUUGCUGAUCCACUAUUGAAUAAUUGGUUUAAGGUCAAACCUAUAAACUGAAUCACUCUCAGGCCAAUGUUGAUGAGCUGUCUUCCAAGGGAACAACCUAUCUACUAACUCUAAAUUGGGUAGGAGUGAGUUCUGUCUUCCAACGUUGAUGAGCUGUCCUCAGCUACGCAGAUCUAAGGAUAAUCUCGUAUGAACAGGAGUUCCUAGUUAACUCAGCAUUAAUCAGGAUUAAGAUUAAAUUACCUAGUUCAUCAAUAAUUGAAAUAGUCACUUUUAAAUAGUAAAUAGUGUUAUAACAUAAAAGUAUUUCAUGGUUCAAUUUCAUGUAAAUUCUUUACAUUGGAUGCCCCACUUUCAUGUCUCUAUAUGAACAAUUUAGGAUUACAUUGUUUGUACUAAUUACAAAGCGGACCGCAUCCAUAGUAUCCCUAAAUAAGGCGUCCAACUUUUAUUCAUAUACUAUAUACCAUUUUAGACUAUAUA